rnacentral:misc_RNA from 1 species
AAAAGCUAUUGAAUUAACUGAACAAACGGAUAUAAAAGGAAUUCAAGUACAAAUUGCCGGGCGUAUCGACGGAAAAGAAAUUGCACGUGUCGAAUGGAUCAGAGAGGGUAGGGUUCCUCUACAAACAAUUCGUGCUAAAAUUGAUUAUUGUUCCUAUACAACUCGAACUAUCUAUGGAGUAUUAGGCAUAAAAAUUUGGAUAUUUGUAGACGAGAAAUAA